GCAAGUAGAACGCUGAAGGGAGAGCUGCUCUUCUGGAUGAGUUGCGAACGGGUGAGUAACGCGUAGGUAACCUGCCUGGUAGCAGGUGAUAACUAUUGGAAACGAUAGCUAAUACCGCAUAACAUUGACUAUUGCAUGAUAGUCAAUUGAAAGGUGCAAAUGCACCACUACCAGAUGGACCUGCGUUGUAUUAGCUAGUUGGUGGGGUAACGGCUCACCAAGGCGACGAUACAUAGCCGACCUGAGAGGGUGAUCGGCCACACUGGGACUGAGACACGGCCCAGACUCCUACGGGAGGCAGCAGUAGGGAAUCUUCGGCAAUGGACGGAAGUCUGACCGAGCAACGCCGCGUGAGUGAAGAAGGUUUUCGGAUCGUAAAGCUCUGUUGUAAGAGAAGAACGAGUGUGAGAGUGGAAAGUUCACACUGUGACGGUAUCUUACCAGAAAGGGACGGCUAACUACGUGCCAGCAGCCGCGGUAAUACGUAGGUCCCGAGCGUUGUCCGGAUUUAUUGGGCGUAAAGCGAGCGCAGGCGGUUAGAUAAGUCUGAAGUUAAAGGCUGUGGCUUAACCAUAGUACGCUUUGGAAACUGUUUAACUUGAGUGCAGAAGGGGAGAGUGGAAUUCCAUGUGUAGCGGUGAAAUGCGUAGAUAUAUGGAGGACACCGGUGGCGAAAGCGGCUCUCUGGUCUGUAACUGACGCUGAGGC
rnacentral:rRNA from 1 species